rnacentral:rRNA from 1 species
AGGACGAACGCUGGCGGCGUGCUUAACACAUGCAAGUCGAGCGGAAAGGCCCUUCGGGGUACUCGAGCGGCGAACGGGUGAGUAACACGUGAGUAAUCUGCCCCUAGCUCUGGGAUAGCUCCGGGAAACCGGGAUUAAUACCGGAUAUGACUCCUUUCGACAUCUGAAGGAGUGGAAAGAUUUAUCGGCUAGGGAUGAGCUCGCGGCCUAUCAGCUUGUUGGUGGGGUAACGGCCCACCAAGGCGACGACGGGUAGCCGGCCUGAGAGGGCGACCGGCCACACUGGGACUGAGACACGGCCCAGACUCCUACGGGAGGCAGCAGUGGGGAAUAUUGCGCAAUGGGCGAAAGCCUGACGCAGCGACGCCGCGUGGGGGAUGAAGGCCUUCGGGUUGUAAACCCCUUUCAGCAGGGACGAAGCGAAAGUGACGGUACCUGCAGAAGAAGCGCCGGCUAACUACGUGCCAGCAGCCGC